UCCGUAAUGGUCUAGUGGCUAGGAUUUGUCGCUCUCACUUCUAAAUAGAAAAGGCCCGACAAGGCCAGGGUUCGAUUCCCUGUUACGGAA
rnacentral:tRNA from 1 species